rnacentral:lncRNA from 1 species
GAAAGAGGGUGGGCCUGGCUCCCCUGACACGCACGGAAGGAGUGGAGUGAGCUGGUGCAGAUGAGGGCGGCCCACAGGGGUGCCGGGAGGGCCUUGACUCAGUCCGGCUCCAAUCGGUCCUGGGACAAGGGCAGAAUUCAGCCGCUGCUGGCAGCCCCUGUCCAGUGUCCGGGUCCCGAAUUUUAGGAGCCACUGCUGCCCCCUUGGUCGCCUGAAACCCUCUCUCCUUCCUGCCUCCGAUCAUAACCCUGCAAUCUGGCCCUAAUCGCCGCCGGACUCUGUCAUGUGAAGGCCUGGCCCACACCUGCCUUCGCAGCCCACGGAACCCUGGCAGCCCCACCAGCUCGGAUGAGGGGCCAGGCCGCUGCCUCGGGCGCCCUGUGGAUUUCGAUUCACUGCUGCUGCUGCUGCUGCUGCUGCUGCUGCUGCUGCUGCUGCUGCUGCUGCUGCUGGGGCGCCAGCGAUGUGUGACCUCGUGGCUGGAUGUGGGUCCUCGGGCUGGGCUGUGCCUUGCCCCAUGCUGGUGCAGGGAAAAUUCUUCAGGUACGCUUGGCGGUUGCUGAGUUCCUCGCUAACGCCUCUCGCUGCUCCUGGACCCAGUGCAACCAGGACCCGCACCACCACGUGCACUACAUGAAGGUGGGGAAGGCAGCCCCACCUGCAGCAGCCUGGCCUGCAUCUGCAUCUACCAGUUGGACUCCUUCCUGCAACCCAUGCGCACCUACCUGGGCCUGGAGAGCUGUGAUGAGGUGCUGAGGCUCGUGACCCCUCGGGGCCUCUGGCCUUCCUGCUGGCCAGCAAGUAGUUCCUGUCGAAGAAGGGACAGCAGCCAUCCCAGGGCAGUGACCGCGGGACCCAGGUUGGGGCCCUCCCACGCCAGUGACAACUUUCCCGUAGAACACCUCACCAUGGGCAGCCGCAACCCCAGCGAUGUGGCUGGCGGCCCUUAGAACUGCCUCACCAGCCUGACCCAGGACCGGGGCGGGGAUGCGCUUCAGUCCUGCCCUACAUGGACUCAUGAAAAGCGUCUCGCUGUUGGGAACUCUUCCUCCACCGUAUAAAGAAGGCCGGGCUAGCUUGCUGAAGAGAUGGGGAUCCACCUCGAGCCAGCACCAAGCAGCAGACACGUGCAGAAGAGCUACUCUGUGUCCUGUGUGGGGCGGUACAGGGAGCGGAAGGGCAGCCAUUCCCAGCGGUCCGGGGCAGAUCCUGGCGCAGAUCCUGCAGCAAGCCUCGCUGCCAGGUUACACCGCCGCGCUCCAUGGCAUCUUUCAGAUCCCUGUAACAAUGGCUCAGUUAUUCCAAAAAAGCAUACAUAAAGUACGUAUUAUUUGUUAA